CCGUGAAACUGCGAAUGGCUCAUAAAUCAGUAUCGUUUAUUGAUAGUACUUACUACUGGAUAACCGUGGUAAUCUAGAGCUAUACAUGCUAAAACCUCGACUUCGGAGGGUGUAUUAUAGAUAAAAACCAAUGCCCUUCGGGGCUCUUGGUGAUCAUAAUAACUUAACGAAUCGCAUGGCCUUGUGCCGGCGAUGGGUUCAUUCAAAUUUCUGCCCUAUCAACUUUCGAUGGUAGGAUAGUGGCCUACCAUGGUUUCAACGGGUAACGGGGAAUUAGGGUUCUAUUCCGGAGAGGGAGCCUGAGAAACGGCUACCCACAUCCAAGGAAGGCAGCAGGCGCGCAAAUUACCCAAUCCCGACACGGGGAGGUAGUGACAAUAAAUACUGAUACAGGGCUCUUUUGGGUCUUGUAAUUGGAAUGAGUACAAUUUAAAUCCCUUAACGAGGAACAAUUGGAGGGCAAGUCUGGUGCCAGCAGCCGCGGUAAUUCCAGCUCCAAUAGCGUAUAUUAAAGUUGUUGCAGUUAAAAAGCUCGUAGUUGAACCUUGGGCCUGGCUGGCCGGUCCGCCUCACCGCGUGCACUGGUCCGGCCGGGUCUUUCCUUCUGGGGAGCCGCAUGCCCUUCACUGGGUGUGUCGGGGAACCAGGACUUUUACUUUGAAAAAAUUAGAGUGUUCAAAGCAGGCCUAUGCUCGAAUACAUUAGCAUGGAAUAAUAGAAUAGGACGUGUGGUUCUAUUUUGUUGGUUUCUAGGACCGCCGUAAUGAUUAAUAGGGAUAGUCGGGGGCAUCAGUAUUCAAUUGUCAGAGGUGAAAUUCUUGGAUUUAUUGAAGACUAACUACUGCGAAAGCAUUUGCCAAGGAUGUUUUCAUUAAUCAGUGAACGAAAGUUAGGGGAUCGAAGACGAUCAGAUACCGUCGUAGUCUUAACCAUAAACUAUGCCGACUAGGGAUCGGGCGAUGUUAUCUUUUUGACUCGCUCGGCACCUUACGAGAAAUCAAAGUCUUUGGGUUCUGGGGG
rnacentral:rRNA from 1 species